rnacentral:piRNA from 1 species
UUUCCUUGUUGUCAUACUUUU